rnacentral:lncRNA from 1 species
UACCGGAACACCCAGGACGGUGGUUGUCAUGGAGCACAUGGUGGUGGCGCAUGCCUUCGACGCCACCGCUGCCUCCGAGGUAAUUUCGGUUCUUCUUGAAACAGAUCAUCGUCGCCGCUGCCGUUGCCCUUGCUGCCCCCUAAAAUCUAUCCCAUCCUUUUCCCCCUAGGGUUGGGAUUUCGGAGGUGGAGCGGAACGAGGC